CGUAGGCGGCUUGGCAAGUGGAAGGUGAAAUCCCUCGGCUUAACCGAGGAACUGCCCUCCAAACUGCUUCGCUUGAGACCGGGAGAGGUGAGUGGAAUUCCCAGUGUAGCGGUGAAAUGCGUAGAUAUUGGGAGGAACACCAGUGGCGAAGGCGGCUCACUGGACCGGUACUGACGCUGAUGCGCGAAAGCGUGGGGAGCAAACG
rnacentral:rRNA from 1 species